rnacentral:rRNA from 1 species
UACGUAGGGGGCUAGCGUUGUCCGGAAUCAUUGGGCGUAAAGAGCGUGUAGGCGGCCCGGUAAGUCCGCUGUAAAAGUCAAAGGCUCAACCUUUGAAUGUCAGUGGAUACUGUCGGGCUAGAGUCCGGAAGAGGCGAGUGGAACUCCUGGUGUAGCGGUGGAAUGCGCAGAUAUCAGGAAGAACACCAACGGCGAAGGCGGCGACCUGGGUAGAUACUGACGCUGAGGCGCGAAAGCGUGGGGAGCAAACAGG